rnacentral:rRNA from 1 species
UACAUGUGGGGCAAGCGUUGUUCGGAAUUACUGGGCAUAAAGGGUGCGUAGGCGGCUUGUUAAGUCAGGGGUGAAAGUUUUCGGCUCAACCGGAAAAUGGCCUCUGAUACUGGCGAGCUCGAGUGCGUGAGGGGUGACUGGAACGAGCAGUGUAGCGGUGAAAUGCGUAGAUAUUGCUCGGAAGGCCAACGGCGAAGGCAGGUCACUGGUACGCAACUGACGCUGAGGCACGAAAGCGUGGGGAGCAAACAGG